GACGAACGCUGGCGGCGUGCUUAACACAUGCAAGUCGAACGAUGAACCCGGAGCUUGCUCCGGUGGAUUAGUGGCGAACGGGUGAGUAACACGUGAGUAACCUGCCCUUGACUCUGGGAUAACUGCGGGAAACUGUAGCUAAUACCGGAUACGACCCUCGGCGGCAUCGCCAGGGGGUGGAAAGAAUUUCGGUCAAGGAUGGACUCGCGGCCUAUCAGCUAGUUGGUGAGGUAACGGCUCACCAAGGCGACGACGGGUAGCCGGCCUGAGAGGGUGACCGGCCACACUGGGACUGAGACACGGCCCAGACUCCUACGGGAGGCAGCAGUGGGGAAUUUUGGACAAUGGGGGCAACCCUGAUCCAGCCAUUCCGCGUGUGCGAUGAAGGCCUUCGGGUUGUAAAGCACUUUUGGCAGGAAAGAAAUCGCACGGAUUAAUACUCUGUGUGGAUGACGGUACCUGCAGAAUAAGCACCGGCUAAC
rnacentral:rRNA from 1 species